rnacentral:rRNA from 1 species
GCGACGACGGGUAGCCGGCCUGAGAGGGCGACCGGCCACACUGGGACUGAGACACGGCCCAGACUCCUACGGGAGGCAGCAGUGGGGAAUAUUGCACAAUGGGCGAAAGCCUGAUGCAGCGACGCCGCGUGAGGGAUGACGGCCUUCGGGUUGUAAACCUCUUUCAGCAGGGAAGAAGCGAAAGUGACGGUACCUGCAGAAGAAGCGCCGGCUAACUACGUGCCAGCAGCCGCGGUAAUACGUAGGGCGCAAGCGUUGUCCGGAAUUAUUGGGCGUAAAGAGCUCGUAGGCGGCUUGUCACGUCGGAUGUGAAAGCCCGAGGCUUAACCUCGGGUCUGCAUUCGAUACGGGCUAGCUAGAGUGUGGUAGGGGAGAUCGGAAUUCCUGGUGUAGCGGUGAAAUGCGCAGAUAUCAGGAGGAACACCGGUGGCGAAGGCGGAUCUCUGGGCCAUUACUGACGCUGAGGAGCGAAAGCGUGGGGAGCGAACAGGAUUAGAUACCCUGGUAGUCCACGCCGUAAACGUUGGGAACUAGGUGUUGGCGACAUUCCACGUCGUCGGUGCCGCAGCUAACGCAUUAAGUUCCCCGCCUG